rnacentral:rRNA from 1 species
UGGGAUGAGCUCACCAUGGGAAUCGGGGUCUUCGACCUUGAAUUGUAGUCUUGAGACGCACCGCCAACAGAGGCGCAGGUGUAAGCCUCUUGGAAGAGAGCAUCGCGGAGGGUGAGAGUCCCGUCUGUCACCUGCAGUCCCCUGUGUACGGCAUGCGUUCUGAGAGUCACGUUCCUCGGGAUUGGAGCGCAAAUUGGGUGGUAAGUUUCACCUUAAGCUAAAUAUUGGUCCGAGACCGAUAGCAAACAAGUACCAUGAGGGAAAGGUGAAAAGGACUUUGAAAAGAGAGUUAAAAGUGCUUGAAAUUGCUGAAAGGGAAGCGAAUGGAACCAGUUCUGCUGGGCGAGAUUGUCGCAUGCCAAGGCCCUGUGCCGGCCGCAUGCGGUGCUUCUUGCCUUGUGUGUCAGCUGCGGUCCGAAGUUGGGGAAAACUCUGGGGACAUGGAUGCCAACCUCCGGGGGGGUGAAUGUGCCUGGCAAGACCCGUCCUUGGACUGUGAGCAGUGCUUCGGCAUGUUUGCGGUGCUGACGAAAUGCUUCUAUUCGACCCGUCUUGAAACACGGACCGAGGAGUCUAACAUGUGUGCGAGCUCACGGGUGUCAAACCUGCUUGCGCAAUGAAAGUGACUGCUGGGAUACUUGCACCAGCAACCGAUCUGUCAACUGAGAGAGAUUUGAGUUUGAGCAUACCUGUUAGGACCCGAAAGAUGGUGAACUAUGCUUGUGUAGGGCAAAGCCAGGGGAAACUCUGGUGGAGGCUCGUAGCGAUACUGACGUGCAAAUCGUUCGUCAAACAUGAGUAUAGGGGCGAAAGACUAAUCGAACCAUCUAGUAGCUGGUUCCCUCCGAAGUUUCCCUCAGGAUAGCUGGAGUCGAACAGUUUUAUCAGGUAAAGCGAAUGAUUAGAGGAAUCGGGGACGUGUUGUCCUCGACCUAUUCUCAAACUUUAAAUGGGUAAGAUCUAAUAGUUGCUUCAUUGAACUGUUGGGGUAAAUGUGGACUCUAAGUGGGCCAUUUUUGGUAAGCAGAACUGGCGAUGAGGGAUGAACCUAACGUUGGGUUAAGGUGCUUAACUGCUCGCUCAUCAGAUACCAUAAAGGGUGUUGGUUCAUUUUAACAGCAGGACGGUGGUCAUGGAAGUCGAAAUCCGCUAAGGAGUGUGUAACAACUCACCUGCCGAAUGGACUAGCCCCGAAAAUGGAUGGCGCUCAAGCGGGUGACUGAUACCCAACCAUUGUUGCAAUUGUGCGGCAUCAAUGAGUAGGAGGGCAUGGGGGCCUGUGAUGAUGCUUUUGGCGUAAGC